GCGCGAUUAUUGGGCCUAAACGUUCGUAGCCGGUCUAGUAAAUGCCUGGGUAAAUCAUACGGCUUAACCGAUACGAAUUCCGGGGUAGACUGCUGGACUUGGGACUGGGAGAGGCUAGAGGUACUCCUGGGGUAGAGGUGAAAUUCUGUAAUCCUAGGGGGACGACCAGUGGCGAAGGCGUCUAGCUAGAACAGGUCUGACGGUGAGGAACGAAGCCCUKGGGCGCAAACGGGAUUARAUACUCCGGUAGUCCAGGGUGUAAACGCUGCUUGCUUGAUGUUAGUCGGGCUCCGAGCCCGAUUAGUGUCGGAGAGAAGUUGUUAAGCAAGCUGCCUGGGGAGUACGGCCGCAAGACUGAAACUUAAAGGAAUUGGCGGGGGGAGCACAA
rnacentral:rRNA from 1 species